rnacentral:snRNA from 1 species
AUCACUUCUUGGCCUUUUGGCUAAGAUCAAGUGUAGUAUCUGUUCUUAUCAGUCCUCUAUCUGAGGACAAUAUAUUAAAUGGAUUUUUGGAGCUUGGAGUUGGAAUAGGACCUUGUUCUGUCCAUUCCACGCAUCGAACUUGUAUUGCAGUACUUCCAGGAAUGGUGCACCCCCU